GAUGAACGCUGGCGGCGUGCCUAAUACAUGCAAGUCGAGCGAACUGAUUAGAAGCUUGCUUCUAUGACGUUAGCGGCGGACGGGUGAGUAACACGUGGGCAACCUGCCUGUAAGACUGGGAUAACUUCGGGAAACCGAAGCUAAUACCGGAUAGGAUCAUCUCCUUCAUGGGAGAUGAUUGAAAGAUGGUUUCGGCUAUCACUUACAGAUGGGCCCGCGGUGCAUUAGCUAGUUGGUGAGGUAACGGCUCACCAAGGCAACGAUGCAUAGCCGAGCUGGGAGGGUGAUCGGCCACACUGGGACUGAGACACGGCCCAGACUCCUACGGGAGGCAGCAGUAGGGAAUCUUCCGCAAUGGACGAAAGUCUGACGGAGCAACGCCGCGUGAGUGAUGAAGGCUUUCGGGUCGUAAAACUCUGUUGUUAGGGAAGAACAAGUACAAGAGUAACUGCUUGUACCUUGACGGUACCUAACCAGAAAGCCACGGCUAACUACGUGCCAGCAGCCGCCGUAACAC
rnacentral:rRNA from 1 species